UGAGUCAAUUAUAUGUCUAGUUUCUCAUACAGACACAAAUGGCGUGGCUAGACAAAAAAAUAUGAAGAAAAUUUUUACAACAUAAAAAGUAUGUUUUUUUCAACUUUAAAGUUUAACAAAUGUCUAGUAAAAAAUCUUGCGCUGAAAUUGUGUAAUGCAGAAAUAUGCCGAUGUGAACAAAUAGAAUGAAUGAAUGCCAAACGCAACAAAUUGGAGGACAUUAUAGCAUGCAAAUGUGAUAAUAUAUUUAAUUGGCCUCCGAGGACGGAAGAUAACACAUGUGGAUCUAGAUUUCGUGGCAAUGUCACCAGCAACAAGGAGAGGCUCAAAAUGGAAUCGACAAUUUUUCUUUUCUUAGAAGCCUGGGACCAUUAAGAAGAAAUAUAAAUAUUUUUAACCAAUGUAUCUCA
rnacentral:sRNA from 1 species